rnacentral:lncRNA from 1 species
UGAAUUUCAAUCUACCGUUCAGCGAGCGGGGGAGGCGGGUGUUGUAGGUGACGUUAAACAUUUGUACCGGAUUUGCUGGGUGUAGUUUGAAAACGAGAUCCAAUCGUUUCAAAGGAGCUCACCCCUCCCACCUGAAAACGCAGCUCAAUUGUGAAGUUCCAGACCCUCUGUAUACGAAAUAAGUACGAGGGUUUGGUAAGACCAGGCUCGGUUUUGGGUACUCCUGUUCUAGUCUGACUGGGCAGGAGAUCUGAUUUCCCCCUCGUUCAUGACAGCUUAAGGCACUGCUAGUGAGUGCACGCAUCCAACUGAGCUCAGUUAACAUAUGUUAUUUUUAACUAAACCCGUUUCUCACAUCAACUGAUUUGAUCACGCUGUUGAUGCCGUAAGACUAUAAUGUGGUUAUUCAUGAAAAUGUCACUGUGAAUCAAUACUCUACUUGAUUUCACCACCGCUGUUACGAGGAGAAAUCACAGCUUGGCACAAGAAUUGGAGAACAAACAUGAUGGCCCCGCUGUGGGGAAACAACAACAACUCAACCUUUGAUGAGGAGGCUGAACCGAUCGGGAGUGGACCCAACGGUGGAAAAAUGUGCACGCACGGAAGACCAGAGCUGUGGAACUAAGUGCAGGAGGAAGACAACGUUCAAGAUGAGACAAUAAGAAAGGUGAGGCGCUCUGCAGAUGGUUGGCUUUAAAUAGUGUGUCAAGGUAUAGA